GACCUGAUGGUGUACUGGUUACACAACCUCUUUAUCUGCACUGCCGCUUGUAAUCUUAUGAGGAAGUCCUCGGUUCGAAUCCGGGUCAGGCCC